rnacentral:tRNA from 1 species
UUGUGGCAGAAUUAAUGCAUAGAUUUUAAGCGUCUAAGAUAAGGUUUCCU